GUAGGCCAUAUGGGUUGGUUGUCCUUUUAACCAAAGAGUGUGAAGAUACUAGUAUAGCAUACAGAUGAGAUGUAAGGGUACAUCAUCAUUGAACGUGACCAACUCCAGAGCAUUCUACUAUCGAGAAUGUCUCUAAUAGGAUAUAGGUAUAAGUGUCCCUUAGACCUGAGACUACCUCAGUGACUUACAAGUAACUCACUGUACUUUGAUACUGGACUAACUGAAUUUCUAAUUCAGUGAAGGAAUGCUUCUAAGCAUAGUCAAGUACUUGCAAAAUUGGAGUGUGAUCA
rnacentral:lncRNA from 1 species